GUGUUCUGGCAGCAUAUGUACUAAGACUGGAAUGGCACAGAGAAGAUUAACAAUGCCUCUGUGUACAGAUGGCAGGAAAAUCAGUGAAGUAUUCCAUAUGUUU
rnacentral:snRNA from 1 species